rnacentral:rRNA from 1 species
UGGGGAAUAUUGCGCAAUGGGCGAAAGCCUGACGCAGCAACGCCGUGUGAGGGAUGAAGGUUUUCGGAUCGUAAACCUCUGUCAGAAGGGAAGAAGUGAUGCGGGUCCAACAGGCCCGUAUCUUGACGGUACCUUCAAAGGAAGCACCGGCUAACUCCGUGCCAGCAGCCGCGGUAAUACGGAGGGUGCAAGCGUUAUUCGGAAUUACUGGGCGUAAAGCGCACGUAGGCGGCCUUGUAAGUCAGGUGUGAAAUCCCACGGCUCAACCGUGGAACUGCACUUGAAACUGCGGGGCUCGAAUCCUGGAGAGGGCGGCGGAAUUCCUGGUGUAGGAGUGAAAUCCGUAGAUAUCAGGAGGAACACCGGUGGCGAAGGCGGCCGCCUGGACAGGUAUUGACGCUGAGGUGCGAAAGUGUGGGGAGCAAACA